GAUGAACGCUAGCGGCAGGCCUAAUACAUGCAAGUCGAACGGGAUUAAGAGGCUUGCUUCUUAUGAGAGUGGCGCACGGGUGCGUAACACGUAUGCAACCUACCUUCAACUGGGGGAUAGCCUUCCGAAAGGGAGAUUAAUACCGCAUAACAUAAUUGAGUGGCAUCACUUGAUUAUCAAACGUCAGGGUUGAAGAUGGGCAUGCGUCCGAUUAGUUAGUUGGUGAGGUAACGGCUCACCAAGGCUACGAUCGGUAGGGGAUCUGAGAGGAUGGCCCCCCACACUGGUACUGAGACACGGACCAGACUCCUACGGGAGGCAGCAGUAAGGAAUAUUGGUCAAUGGACGGAAGUCUGAACCAGCCAUGCCGCGUGCAGGAAGACGGUCCUCUGGAUUGUAAACUGCUUUUGUUAGGGAAGAAACUUCCGUACGUGUACGGGACUGACGGUACCUAAAGAAUAAGGAUCGGCUAACUCCGUGCCAGCCGCCGCUGUAACAC
rnacentral:rRNA from 1 species